AACGAACGCUGGCGGCAUGCUUAACACGUGCAAGUUGAACGCAGAAUAGGGCUUCGGCUCUAUUGCUGAGUAGCAAACGGGUGAGUAACGCGUGGGAAUCUACCUUCUUGUGGGGGAUAACUAAGGGAAACUUUAGCUAAUACCGCAUACGCUCUACGGAGGAAAGGCUUCGGCCGCAAGAAGAGGAGCCCGCGUCAGAUUAGGUAGUUGGUGGGGUAAAAGCCUACCAAGCCAAUGAUCUGUAGCUGGUCUGAGAGGAUGAUCAGCCACACUAGGACUGAGACACGGCCCAGACUCCUACGGGAGGCAGCAGUGGGGAACAUUGAACAAUGGGGGAAACCCUGAUCCAGCAAUGCCGCGUGAAUGAAGAAGGCCUUAGGGUUGUAAAGUUCUUUCACCUGUGAAGAUAAUGACGGUAGCAGGAGAAGAAGCCCCGGCUAACUCCGUGCCAGCAGCCGCCGUAA
rnacentral:rRNA from 1 species